UAGAAAGGGUUUUUUUGUUCGUUAUUUUGGUUAGGCCAGGGUGUUACAUUGGGUGGGCGUUCUAUGUUUAUUUUUCUAUGUUGGUUUGUUUCUUUGGUUGGCCGUGUGUGGCUCCCAAUCAGGAACAGCUGUAGUUCGUUGUUGCUGAUUGGGAGUCAUACAUAGGCAGCCUGUUUUUCCUUUGGGGUUUGUGGGUGAUUGUUUUCUGUUUUGUUCAUGUAGGACCAGACGGGACUGUUUGCUGUCGUUUCUGUCGAGUAUUUUGUUUAUAGUGGUUCAUUUGAUUAAAUCUUUAAAAUGAAUACACAUCCUCCGCUGCAUCUUGGUUUUCUUACGACGACAGCCCUUACAGAAUCACCCACCAAAAAACGGACCAAGCAGUGGAGGAAGGAGCAGCGCAAGGAGAAGAACCAGGAGAGGAGCUAUCUAGAAUUGUGGACUUGGGAGGAAAUCCUGGACGGUAAAGGACCAAGGGCUCAAGCUGGGGAUUAUCGCCGCCCGCAGAGGGAGAGCGACGGACACGGCAGGCAGCCCCAAAAACAUUUUUUGGGGGGCACACGGGGAGAUUGGCGGAGUCAAGCGGUAGACCUGAGCCAACUCCCCGUGCUUACGGGAGGCAGCGCAGUACUGGUCAGGCACCGUGUUAUGCGGUUAAGCGCACGGUGUCUCCAGUGCGUGUUCAUAGCCCGGUGCGCUAUAGGCCAGCCCCCCGAAAGUGCCAUGCGAGUGCAGGCAUCGAGCCAGGAUGGAUUGUGCCAGCUCAGCGCGUCCAGUGGGUCUCCCCAUCCUGGUCAGUCCUGUGCCUCCUCCACGGACCAGGCCUCCAGUGGGACCCCCAAUCUGGUCAAGCCUGUGCCUCCUCCACGGACCAGGCCUCCAGUGAGUCCCCCCAUCCUGGUCAAGCCUGUGCCUCCUCCACGGACCAGGCCUCCAGUGGGUCUCCCCAUCCUGGUCAAGCCUGUGCCUCCUCCACGGACCAGGCCUCCUGUGGGUCUCCCCAUCCUGGUCAGUCCUGUGCCUCCUCCACGGACCAGGUCUCCAGAGGGUCUCCCCAUCCUGGUCAGUCCUGUGCCUCCUCCACGGACCAGGCCUCCAGUGGGUCUCCCCAGCCUGGUGAGUCCAGUGCCUGCGCCCAGAGCCAGGCCUUCAUGUCUCCCCAGCCUGGUGAGUCCUGGGCCAGAGCCGCCGGAGCCGCCAGCCUGCCCGGAACCGCCGGAACAACCAGAGUUGCCCGCCAUCCGGGCGCAGCCAGGGUCGCCCGCCAACUGGGCGCAGCCAGGGUCGCCCGCCAGCCGGGCGCAGCCAGGGUCGCCCGCAAGCCGGGCGCUUCCAGGGUCGCCCGCCAGCCAGGCGCAGCC
rnacentral:lncRNA from 8 species